UUCUGUCUCUGCAGCAUGGUCAACAACAGUCCCAGAGUUGUAGGUCUUAAAGGUCUAGCACUCAGAGACUGACUUCUUGCUUUCUCUGAUCCCAGUUAAAAACAUAUGAAGAAGGAGCUUUGCAGCCCAGAUCCAGACAGAUUCCCAAACCUGGGCCAGUCAACAGUGGCCAAGACAGCAGGCUACUUGGACUGGUCCCACUUGGAUCAGGUGUCCAACCUUGUACUUGUCCAUGGUAGUCAAAGGUAUGAGGUCAUGAAAAAAUCUAGCCAUUCUGGCAGAAACCAGAGAGAUAUUUUGGGGGGCUGACAUUUCCAGAAGCAGCAGAUGCAGAGCAUAUAAACAUAACUUGACCCUUGGCCUAAGAUUCCUGCAUUUGCAGUCAUUCCCAGCCAGCAAGUGGAGGGCUGAGGGAGUGAACUGGCUCACAGCAGCUUCACAUCCAAGACCAUCACCCCUUUAAGUGAACUCCACCCCAAGUCAUAGCUGGGCCAAGUGGUUCCACCUGCAGAACUAGAGGGCCACAUGGGGCUCCUGCAAAGUAUGGGCUGUUCCCUAAGAUAGAACUCAAGGGGGCAUGACAUGAUUCAAAGAAGAGACAGGAUCAAACACAAAUCUGGCCUGUCCAGGCUGGGUGCCCCUUGGCACCACCCUGUUUCUCAGACACUGAGAAAGCCAGCACAUCAUACCCUGCACUGAGCCUGGCACAGAUGCUCCAGGACAAAAUACAGGCCAAAUCUCAAAUGUGA